rfam:Camelus ferus unplaced genomic scaffold scaffold2421, whole genome shotgun sequence.
GAGGGUAUAACUCAAAUGGUAGCGUGCAUGCUUAGCAUGCAUGAGGUCCUGGGUUUAAUCCCUAGUACUUCCU